GGGUUAAAAGGAGCAAAGCUGGAUUUCUAUAGAGGGCGGGCAGUGAAGCGGGAGGGGGGGUCAAGGUCCUCCAUGCCAAAAUCCUUCCCUCCCACAUCCCUUCCUGCAAGCAGAGAGGAGGUUGCUUUGUUUUCUCUCCUUUGCAAAAUCUUCCUCGGGUCCAGUGUGUUUUGAAGACGUAGCUUUUCAUUUCACACACAAAGACUGGGCGUUGCUGGAUCCUGACCAGAGAGCUCUGCAGGAGGAAGUCAAGGGGGUGAAGUGUGGGAUCCUGGACUCUCUGAUGGUGAUCAAUUGGAGGGGAAGAACAAAGGGGAGCACAACAGAAUCCACAUAGCGGAGGAGCCAAAUCAAUAUUCAGGGUAUGGAGA